AAUGUUCAGAUUAGCCAUGCAUGUCUCAGUAUAAGCUUCUAUACGGCGAAACUGCGAAUGGCUCAUUAAAACAGUUAUAGUUUAUUUGGUGGUCAGCAAUUACAUGGAUAACCGUGGUAAUUCUAGAGCUAAUACAUGCGCCCAAACCCGACUUCGUGGAAGGGUUGUGUUUAUUAGAUACAGAACCAACCCAGGCUCCGCCUGGCCUUGAGGUGAUUCAUAAUAACCGAACGAAUCGCAUGGCUAUGCCGGCGAUAGACCAUUCAAGUUUCUGACCUAUCAGCUAUCGUCGGUAGGGUAUUGGCCUACCGUGGCAAUGACGGGUAACGGAGAAUUAGGGUUCGAUUCCGGAGAGGGAGCCUGAGAAACGGCUACCACAUCUAAGGAAGGCAGCAGGCGCGCAAAUUACCCAAUCCUGACGCAGGGAGGUAGUGACAAGAAAUAACAAUACAGGGCAUACAUGUCUUGUAAUUGGAGUGAGUAAACUUUAAAUCACUUUA
rnacentral:rRNA from 1 species